CCUACGGGUGGCAGCAGUGAGGAAUAUUGGUCAAUGGGCGCGAGACUGAACCAGCCAAGUAGCGUGAAGGAUGACUGCCCUAUGGGUUGUAAACUUCUUUUAUAAAGGAAUAAAGUGAGGCACGUGUGCCUUUUUGUAUGUACUUUAUGAAUAAGGAUCGGCUAACUCCGUGCCAGCAGCCGCGGUAAUACGGAGGAUACGAGCGUUAUCCGGAUUUAUUGGGUUUAAAGGUAGCGUAGAUGGGUUGUUAAGUCAGUUGUGAAAGUUUGCGGCUCAACCGUAAAAUUGCAAUUGAUACUGGCAGUCUUGAGUACAGUUGAGGUAGGCGGAAUUCGUGGUGUAGCGGUGAAAUGCUUAGAUAUCACGAAGAACCCCGAUUGCGAAGGCAGCUUACUAAACUGCCACUGACAUUGAUGCUCGAAAGUGUGGGUAUCAAACAGGAUUAGAUACCCUUGUAGUC
rnacentral:rRNA from 1 species